GUCUAUGGCCAUGCUACUCUGAACAAGCCGGAUCCCGUCUGAUCUCGGAAGCUAAGCAGGGUCGGGCCUGGUUAGUACUUGGAUGGGAGACCACCCAGGAAGACCAGGUGCUGGAGGCG
rnacentral:rRNA from 1 species